GCCCCCGUGGUGAAACGGAUAUCACGCAUGGCUUCGAACCAUGAAGUCCGGGUUCGACUCCUGGCGGGGGCA
rnacentral:tRNA from 1 species